rnacentral:lncRNA from 1 species
UCCCAGGUAGCACACAGACUCUGUUUCAGGUCUGUUUCAGAUCUGUUUUUGAGAGUCUGUAAAUUGUUUGGAGUGGCACACUUUUACAGACUGUCAUACAGGUCUGUGACAGAUCCGUAAAACGGGAUCACGAUUUACAGACCAAAAACAGAUUUUCAAGAAAAAAAAAGAUUUGCCUCCCUCUGGAAUCGAACCAUCAACCUCUGAGUUCACAAGCCAUUGUACACUUGUUCAUUCAACAAACAGUCUGACAUGUCUCUCUCACGAAACUGAUUGCUACAUAUGACUACCACUGGUCUCUUCCGAUAGUAACAAGACCAAGAUUGGCCCCACACCAAUUACAAGUCUUUAUUAUACCUAUUUAUGUAUAAUAAUACUUCUCCGUCCGGUGGAUAAACAACUAUUGUUGUUGUUCGAGUAGGCCUACUGAACUAAACUCAUAGCCAUUAGCUGCAUUGACUAUUAGAGUGUAACUUCUUACUGCAUGGUAUUGCAGUGAUAUUACACAUAUAAGAAACGUUUAA